rnacentral:misc_RNA from 1 species
UUAUAUCUAGAGCUUACAAGACCAUCACGAAAGUGAUGGUCUUUUUUGCUGCACAAGACCGGCAAGCGAAUGGAUGCUUGCAUACAAAUUCAUUUGCCGGUCGUAAGAACAUGGAGCACUAAGUGCGGAAUGUUCGUGUGCGAAAUCG